rnacentral:rRNA from 1 species
UUAUAUGGCCAUAUAACGCUGCAUGUGCCCAAUCUCAUCUGAUCUCAGAAGCUAAGCAGGGUCAGGCCUGAUUAAUACUUGGAUGGUAGCCAAUUUAAA